rnacentral:lncRNA from 1 species
ACAAAACAAAGACUUUAAUUCAAUAUUAAUUACCUAAAGCAAGAAUGCAAGAAUAUAAUAAAGAAAUAAAGUGAAGCGAUAAAGCACACCACAAACACAAGGAUUUAUAGUGGUUCGGUGCCAACCUUGCACCUACAUCCACUCCCCAAGCUCCUACUUGAGAAUUUCAAUCCACUAUCUUUGUAUUCAACCCGAAUACAAAACAUCGGAAACUCCGACACUAGCUAUCCCAAGCUAGAUCACUUGUUUUUCGAGUACAAGUAAACCCAAAACACUCCGAUUUCAGGUUCGGAUCAACCUUUCCUUGUUUUGGAAAUCCUCCAAAAACAAGAACAAAAACUCACAAAGAGUUAGAAAAUUUUGAGCACAGAUUAAUACAAUAACAGCUCCUUUAAAUGAGCGAAUAUAAUAAUAAAAACUUUACUCAAAUGAA